AGUCGUGUCUCAGCCUGGAGAGUGCGCGCACCGCGGCCCGGGCAGCCGCUGGCUCCAGCUCACGAAACAGCCCCGGGCGCCGCGCCGCUCUGAGUCCAGCCUCCUACUGAGAACAGUCCCUCCCUUGUGCGGGUCGCACGGCUAGCCGCAGGUUCGGCCACGUCAAAUCCAUUUUCUAAAAAAGCAGGGAGCAGAGCUCUCUCUUCGCCGCCGACGCAGAAAGGAGCUGGGGAGGAAAAAGCUGCUGCCUUUUGCGCUGGAGAUUCGUGGGCAAGGCUUCUCAUUUUCCCAGGCUGCUUCCCCUCCCGGGUGAGGAGCGUCCUGAGACUAAGGAAAGAGCCUGGAAAAUGGAGCAGACCUGGACGAGGAUGAAGACUUAGUGCUGGACCAAAAACAAAACAAAACAGAGAUCCCGAAACUUAAAGAAAUUGUUGUGGAUGCACGAUGAUUUUGUAGCUCACUGUAGCUAUUGGGGACUUAGCACUCCAGAAAACAGCCUCUCAGAGUGAUGGUCACUGUCAGUGAAUAGACUUUGAGUGAAGGGUGUAAUUGCAGCCUAUACUGGAAUAAAGUGGAUGUUUCUGUAUCGGUGCCAAGUCAGCCCACACUUAGUCAGCAUGCAGAAGGAGGCUCACCGUGAUGCUCUCUCUCCUCUGGGAGCUUUGCCAAUUAAGCAUCCUCACUUGCAGAGGUUAUAAUGAUAGAUCUUGAGAUGAGAAAAAAUGAUAAUUUCACUGUAUUAUAUAAUAGUCUUAACGUUCUGCAUCUGGGGCUUUUACCCUAUUUGCAUUUGAAUAUGUGUUUUUACAAUUCGGGUGCCACAUUGUGGGAGGGUAUUUGGCAACAUUUGGAACAUAGAAAAUAUAUCCAGUGUCUCUCCUUGGCAAGAGGAAAAAUACACAUCUGAGAAGUCUCAGAGCUUGUUCACUAAUGCCUUUUCCACUUUGAUUGUUUCUGUUUCCACCACCUUUCCCGCGUUUCAGUUUAUUCCCUUGGGUAGGGACAAUGCCAAGUGUUAUCACGGGAGGGGUUGGAGAAAGAUGUAAAUAUUCUGAAAAAAGUGGGUUAGAGAUAGAGAAGUAUAAAAUGAUGGAUGACUCACUUUUCACGAUAGGACCUAUAUAAAAAGUCACACUAGCCACUUCCGUUUUGGGAUUUUAAUUAUUUUGUCACAUGGCAUCUGUUACACCAGUACUCAAAUACUCAAGUGUAAGCUGUGCCCAUCAGGGAUAAGUUGAUAGUCUAAGAAACAAAUUUGUGUCAGGGUUUGAGACAAAAAUCCCAUCUCAUCAGCACAGCAAA
rnacentral:lncRNA from 1 species